AUGAGAUGUGUUCAUUUAUUUGCUAGUGACUCUAUUUUGCUGCUUCUUCUCUUUUGAUUUUGCCCAGCAGUGACUGACGCCACGUCUAUAAAAGGAAAGUGCCCAUUGAAAUGGAAAACAGGGAUUUUUAAACAGGCUCGACAUGAAAGUUGAGAUCUCGUCUCCAUGUACUGUAUACGCUCGCCUGCCAGGUCUCAGGAUCUUCGUUCGGAACCUCUGGUCACCUGAGGUCACCUUGGUCUUCAGCAUCUUUGUGAAGCUGACCGUGUAUCUAAAAUGCACCACGCUGUAAAGAAUGCUGCCAACUUCCCACCGUUGGGUACCUUUCGCAGAGAAUGGUGGGUAUCUCUCAAAUAUUGAACUUUCUUUUUUUUUUUUUCCAAAAAUGACACAAGGUUACUGAAAAUAAACAUCUGC
rnacentral:lncRNA from 1 species